CCCUUAGAUGUUCUGGGCCGCACGCGCGCUACACUGAUGCAUUCAACGAGUCCAACCUUGACCGAGAGGUCCGGGUAAUCUUUGAAACUGCAUCGUGAUGGGGCUAGAUUAUUGCAAUUAUUAAUCUUCAACGAGGAAUGCCUAGUAAGCGUGAUUCAUCAAAUCGCGUUGAUUACGUCCCCGCCCUUUGUACACACCGCCCGUCGCUCCUACCGAUUGAGUGUGUUGGUGAGGAGUUUGGAUUGGCCUCGGAAGGUGGUUCGCCACCGUCCGUAGCUGAGAAGUUCUCCAAACCGCCCCACUUAGAGGAAGGAGAAGUCGUANCA
rnacentral:rRNA from 1 species